AGCGCACGGUGGGCGGGCGCCAGCUCCCAGAGGCAUUGCCCUUUUCCCCUGCAGCUGCUGCAACAAAUAGCAGUUCUUUUGAAGAUGUGACCAGCUGAAGGGUCUGCUUCCUGCCAUCGUCCUCACUCCAGGCCCAGGCCGAGGAGGAAGCCACUCUCUGGAACAUUACCAACCAAGACCCUCAAGAUCUGCCACCAUCUAAAAUGCCGCCUUGGGGACUUCCCUGGUGGUGCAGUGGUUAAGAAUCCACCUGCCAGUGCAGGGGAUAUGGGUUCGAUCCCUGGUCUGGAAAGAUCCCAUAUGCUGCAGAGCAACUAAGCCCGUGAGCCACAACUACUGAGCCCACGCACCACAACUAUUGAAGCCCACUCGCCUAGAGCCCAUGCUCCACAACAAGAGAAGCCACCUCACUGAGAAGCCCACGCACCACAAUGAAGAGUAGCCCCCACUCACCUCAGCUAGAGGAAGCCUUCAAGCAGCGAUGAAGACCCAAC